rnacentral:rRNA from 1 species
CUACGGGGCGCUGCAGUGGGGAAUAUUGCACAAUGGAGGAAACUCUGAUGCAGCAACGCCGCGUGGAGGAUGACACUUUUCGGAGCGUAAACUCCUUUUAUAUAGGAAGAAGAUGACGGUACUAUAUGAAUAAGCGCCGGCUAACUCCGUGCCAGCAGCCGCGGUAAUACGGAGGGCGCAAGCGUUACUCGGAAUCACUGGGCGUAAAGAGCGUGUAGGCGGAUUAAAAAGUCAGAAGUGAAAUCCUAUAGCUUAACUAUAGAACUGCUUCUGAAACUCUUAAUCUAGAAUAUGGGAGAGGUAGAUGGAAUUUCUGGUGUAGGGGUAAAAUCCGUAGAGAUCAGAAGGCAUACCGAUUGCGAAGGCGAUCUACUAGAACAUUAUUGACGCUGAGACGCGGAAGCGUGGGGAGCAAACAGGAUUAGAUACCCCGGUAGUC